GCACCCGUAGUUCAAUGGAUAGAAUAAUGGUUUCCGGUACCAUCGAUAGGGGUUCGAAUCCCUUCGGGUGCA
rnacentral:tRNA from 1 species